UGCUGGAUAGCUCAGUUGGUAAAGCAUUAGGCUCUCAGGAAUCUCAGGUUCCUGGGUUCGAGCCCCACAUUGGGCAC